rnacentral:rRNA from 1 species
AUUGAACGCUGGCGGCAUGCUUUACACAUGCAAGUCGGACGGCAGCACAGAGAAGCUUGCUUCUUGGGUGGCGAGUGGCGAACGGGUGAGUAACAUAUCGGAACGUACCGAGCAGUGGGGGAUAACUGAUCGAAAGAUUAGCUAAUACCGCAUAUAUUCUGAGGAAGAAAGCAGGGGACCAUUUGGCCUUGCGCUGUUUGAGCGGCCGAUAUCUGAUUAGCUAGUUGGUGGGGUAAAGGCCUACCAAGGCGACGAUCAGUAGCGGGUCUGAGAGGAUGAUCCGCCACACUGGGACUGAGACACGGCCCAGACUCCUACGGGAGGCAGCAGUGGGGAAUUUUGGACAAUGGGCGCAAGCCUGAUCCAGCCAUGCCGCGUGUCUGAAGAAGGCCUUCGGGUUGUAAAGGACUUUUGUCAGGGAAGAAAAGGGUGGGGUUAAUACCCCUGUCUGAUGACGUACCUGAAGAA